rnacentral:rRNA from 1 species
AUUGAACGCUGGCGGCAGGCCUAACACAUGCAAGUCGAACGAGUAGCGGACGGGUGAGUAAUGUCUGGGAAACUGCCUGAUGGAGGGGGAUAACUACUGGAAACGGUAGCUAAUACCGCAUACCAUCAGAUGUGCCCAGAUGGGCUUAGCUUGUUGGUGGGGUAACGGCUCACCAAGGAGAAGCUCCCUAGCUGGUCUGAGAGGAUGCCCAUCCCCACUUGAAAUGAGACACGGUCCAGACUCCUACGGGAGGCAGCAGUGGGGCAUAUUGCACAAUGGGCGCAAGCCUGAUGCAGCCAUGCCGCGUGUAUGAAGAAGGCCUGCGGUUUGUAAAGUACUUUCAGCGGGGAGGCGUGACCCGCAGAAGAAGCACCGGCGAACUCCGUGCCAGCAGCCGCGGUAAUA